rnacentral:tRNA from 1 species
GCGCCCAUAGCUCAAUUGGAUAGAGCGUUGGCCUCCGGAGCCAAAGGUUGCAGGUUCGAGUCCUGCUGGGCGCACCA